rnacentral:rRNA from 1 species
CGUGUAGGCUGCUCGGAAAGUCGGGUGUGAAAGCCCUGGGCUCAACCUAGGAAGUGCACUCGAAACUUCCGAGCUGGAGUGCUGGAGAGGAAGGCGGAAUUCUCGGUGUAGAGGUGAAAUUCGUAGAUAUCGAGAGGAACACCGGUGGCGAAGGCGGCCUUCUGGACAGCAACUGACGCUGAGACGCGAAAGCGUGGGGAGCAAACA